rnacentral:rRNA from 1 species
AGAGUUUGAUCCUGGCUCAGGAUGAACGCUGGCGGCGUGCUUAACACAUGCAAGUCGAACGAAGCGCGCGGAAGGAAGGCCUUCGGGCCGGAGAGCCGCGGGACUGAGUGGCGGACGGGUGAGUAACGCGUGGGCAACCUGCCCCGUACAGGGGGAUAACAGCCGGAAACGGCUGCUAAUACCGCAUAAGCGCACAGCGCCGCAUGGCGCGGUGUGAAAAGCUCCGGCGGUACGGGAGGGGCCCGCGUCUGAUUAGGCAGUUGGCGGGGCAGCGGCCCACCAAACCGACGAUCAGUAGCCGGCCUGAGAGGGCGGCCGGCCACAUUGGGACUGAGACACGGCCCAAACUCCUGCGGGAGGCAGCAGUGGGGAAUAUUGCACAAUGGGGGAAACCCUGAUGCAGCGACGCCGCGUGAGCGAAGAAGUAUUUCGGUAUGUAAAGCUCUAUCAGCAGGGAAGAAAAAUGACGGUACCUGAGUAAGAAGCACCGGCUAAAUACGUG